rnacentral:tRNA from 1 species
GGCUUUAUAGUCAAUUGUUAAUGAUAUUAGACUGCAAUUCUAAAGUAGAGAUUAUAUUUAUCUUUAAAGCCU